AUUGAACGCUGGCGGCAGGCCUAACACAUGCAAGUCGAGCGGAUGAAGGGAGCUUGCUCCUGGAUUCAGCGGCGGACGGGUGAGUAAUGCCUAGGAAUCUGCCUGGUAGUGGGGGAUAACGUCCGGAAACGGGCGCUAAUACCGCAUACGUCCUGAGGGAGAAAGUGGGGGAUCUUCGGACCUCACGCUAUCAGAUGAGCCUAGGUCGGAUUAGCUAGUUGGUGGGGUAAAGGCCUACCAAGGCGACGAUCCGUAACUGGUCUGAGAGGAUGAUCAGUCACACUGGAACUGAGACACGGUCCAGACUCCUACGGGAGGCAGCAGUGGGGAAUAUUGGGCAAUGGGCGAAAGCCUGAUCCAGCCAUGCCGCGUGUGUGAAGAAGGUCCUCGGAUUGUAAAGCACUUUAAGUUGGGAGGAAGGGCAGUAAGUUAAUACCUUGCUGUUUUGACGUUACCAACAGAAUAAGCACCGGCUAACUUCGUG
rnacentral:rRNA from 1 species